ensembl:lncRNA
CACGGACGUGUGACCGGCGUCUUACCGGAGUGUUGUUGGGGUGUAAGCGGCGUGUUAUUGGUGUUACUGGGAUGUAACUGGCGUGUCGCUGGUGUUACUGGGGUGUAAGCGGCAUGUUAUUGGUGUUACUGGGGUGUUAUUGGUGUUACUGGGGUGUAACUGGCGUGUCGCUGGUGUUACUGGUGUGUCACCGGAGUGUUACUGGGGUGCAAGCGCCGUGUUAUUGGUGUUACUGGGGUGUUAUUGGUGUUACUGGGGUGUCACUGUGGUGUUACUGGGGUGUCACUGUGGUGUUACUGGUGUUACUGGGAUGUAACUGGCGUGUCGCUGGUGUGUCACUGGAGUGUUACGGGCAUGUUUACUGGGAUGUAAUUGGCGUGUUACUGGUGUGUUACUGUUGUAACUGGUGUGUCACUGGAGUGUUAUGGGCAUGUUUACUGGGAUGUAACUGGCGUGUCACUGGUGUUACUGGCCUGUUACUGGUGUGUUACUGGUGUGUCACUGGAGUGUUACUGGGAUGUAAGUGGUGUGUCACUGGUGUCACUGGGGUGUUACUGGUGUAACUGGAGUGUCAGUGGUGUCGUUGAUGUGUUACUGAUGUGUAGCUGGUGUAUUAUUGGUGUGUCACUGGUGUGUCACUGGUGUGUCACUGGAGUGUUACUGGAGUGUUACUGGGGUGUAAGUGGCGUGUUGUUGGUGUUACUGGAGUGUUACUGGUGUCACUGGUGUGUCACUGGUGUCAUUGGUGUGUUACUGGUGUGUUACUGGGGUGUGAGUGCUGUGUUAUCGAUGUUACUGGCCUGUUACUGGUAUAACUGGUGUGUCACUGGAGUGUUAUGGGGGUGUUACUGGGGUGUAAGUGGGGUGUUAGUGCUGUAACUGGCGUAUAACUGGUAUGUUACUGGUGUGCUGCUGGAGUGUUACUGGGGUGUAACUUGCAUGUUACUGGAGUGUCACUGGUAUGUUACUGGUGUUAUUGGCAUGUUACUGGUGUGUAACUGGUGUGUAACUGGUGUAUGACUGGUGUUACUGGGGUAUAAGUGGUGUGUUAUUGGUGUAGCUGGGAUGUUGCUGGUGUAUUACUGGACUGUUACUGGCAUGUUGCUGGGGUGUAACUGGUGUGUUACUGGUGUGUUACUGGUGUGUUACUGGCAUGACUGGGAGCGGAGUGUGUCAGGGAUGUUCCACUGGGUGGUUAAUUAUUGAAUUAAUCGACUGAUAAUCCCAGUUGUGCUGGCACCACUUGGAGGGCUUUUCCAACCCCAGCGAUUCCCUGAUUCCCAUUCCCUGCUUUGGGGGGUCUGUGUUACCUCUCCAGAGAGCUGCUCGUUCCACUGCCAUCAUAUUCUGAGUCUUUACCCCUUUCCAAACCUUCUGGGAAAGGUUUCAUUUCCGGACCUGGAAAAUGAAGCUGGAUUCAUUUCUCUCCAUACGGAUGCAGCGAGGGAGCCUGAAGUAAACUUUGGGUGCAGAACUUGGGAUAAGCUUGGGCACAAAUGUCACGUUUCUUGGGCUUCAAACGAGCAGAACACCCACAGGGACUGUUCCUUUAAGGAAAUAAGG